CUCCCCGGGACCAAGGCACGAGACCGGGCUGCGCCCCCGGGGCAGCGGGGGUUUGGCCCCUUUGUUUUACUCUUAAGUAAUUGUAAGCUCGGGAGGCGAGUGUUUUCCCAACGACGAUCAAGGCCCCGCCCGCACGCUGUGAGGGGCCGUUUAUUGAAGCCGGACGAGAGCCGAGUUUCACGGUCAGAGGCGGAGCCGGAGCUGGUCGGAACGGCGAGCGCAAGCUCGGCCUCCUGGAGCCCGGGCUCUGAGCACGAGUCUGCGAGCGGCCGAGGGGGCUCCUCCCCACCCCGCCUAGAGCUGCGACCCUUGGGAUAACUCCUGAGUGGACGUGCAUUUAAAAGGGGCGGCCUGGGACUUCACAGACCGUUUUCCAAUUCUGUCCACGCACCAGAGCCCAAAAGCAAGGGAGCCACCUGCGGGGCCACCCCCAGAGGCCUGUUCGGGCUGGGAAGGCGGGACCAGCUGUAACCCGCGAGUCUCCCAACGCCUCCGAGCCGCCCCGCCCGGCCCCCACCUCCCACCCGCCCCUCGGAGUCGCGAGAAAACCCGGAGAGCCCGAGGCUUGGGCCGGAACUGCGCAUGCCAGUAGCCCGAGCUGGUGCAGGUUGCCCAACGCAAGGUUUUCUUCGAAGGACCCCUGCGCCCGGGUUGGGGGCGUUCGGCGGGGAGAGGGGGCCCUCCGCCGCGGCGCCCUUUCCUUCCCCGGCCCCCGCCGAGGAGACACCCCUGCCGCCGAGGGGCUGCCCAGGGAGCGCCUCCCACGGUGCCGGAGACUCGCCUGGCGGGGGGAGGGGGCGCACGACGGUAUCGCGGGAGACACGUGACUGUCCGUGGCGCUUCGGGCAGCCAUCUUCCGCCCGGCCAUCGGGCCGCGGGCGAUCGGAUGGGAACGGACCGGGAGCGAACGGGGUGCGAGCAGAGCGCCCUCGCCCCCGCCACGCCCUCUCGCGGGGCUCUAGCCUCCUCUUCGCACCUGCCUCCGGCCCCGCACCCCGCCCGGCGCCGGAAUCGUGGCACUGACCCUCGGCUGGCCGGGCGGGGAGCGAGGGCUGUGAAAGGCAGGGGCAGGCUCCGGGUCGGACGGCCUCUGCUUCCUCCCAGAGGUGGAAGCGGGAGGAAGGGAUCCCCUUCCGUGAGGGAGUGACGCCGCUGCUCCAGCUGCCUCCUAGUUCUGCCCUGUUCCCCGCGGAGGAAGCGGGAUGUGUUGGCAGCAACAUCUGGAUAGCGUCCGUCGCUGUUCCCGGCGGUGCAGUGUCCACAGCCUCUUCCGGUGGACAGCUUGGACGGUGAUAUUAAUAGUAUUUAUUGAGCUCCUGCCACGAAGCACUUGGGGGUCCCAGUGAUCGUAGGACCAGCCUUUUUACCAUCAGAGGAGAAUUGGUUAGAAUUGCAAGGGCGGGAUGCUGCGAUCUCAUUAACCAGCCCUCCAGUUGACCUACAAGCAGCAGCCAUCAUGCAAAUUGUGCCCAAGAAGCAAGGAGGUUUCUAAGUCUGGCAAUUUAUCUCAGUGGAAGAAUCUGAAGCCAUAGCCUUAGUAGCAGGAAUAAGACCUGCUAGGAUUCCUGUCUUCAAUAACUGCUUGGGCCCUAGCCAGGUUUGCUCAGUGGUUAGAGCAUCGGCCCAUGAACUGAAG